rnacentral:rRNA from 1 species
GAUGAACGCUGGCGGCGCGCCUAAUACAUGCAAGUCGAGCGAACAGAUAAGGAGCUUGCUCCUUUGACGUUAGCGGCGGACGGGUGAGUAACACGUGGAUAACCUACCUAUAAGACUGGGAUAACUUCGGGAAACCGGAGCUAAUACCGGAUAACAUAUUGAACCGCAUGGUUCAAUAGUGAAAGGCGGCUUUGCUGUCACUUAUAGAUGGAUCCGCGCCGUAUUAGCUAGUUGGUAAGGUAACGGCUUACCAAGGCAACGAUACGUAGCCGACCUGAGAGGGUGAUCGGCCACACUGGAACUGAGACACGGUCCAGACUCCUACGGGAGGCAGCAGUAGGGAAUCUUCCGCAAUGGGCGAAAGCCUGACGGAGCAACGCCGCGUGAGUGAUGAAGGUCUUCGGAUCGUAAAACUCUGUUAUCAGGGAAGAACAAAUGUGUAAGUAACUGUGCACAUCUUGACGGUACCUGAUCAGAAAGCCACGGCUAACUACGUG